rnacentral:rRNA from 1 species
GACGAACGCUGGCGGCGUGCCUAAUACAUGCAAGUCGAGCGAAUCAAUAGGAGCUUGCUCCUGUUGGUUAGCGGCGGACGGGUGAGUAACACGUGGGCAACCUGCCUGUAAGACUGGGAUAACACCGGGAAACCGGUGCUAAUACCGGAUAAUCCUUUUUCUCUCAUGAGGGAAAGCUGAAAGUCGGUUUCGGCUGACACUUACAGAUGGGCCCGCGGCGCAUUAGCUAGUUGGUGAGGUAACGGCUCACCAAGGCGACGAUGCGUAGCCGACCUGGGAGGGUGAUCGGCCACACUGGGACUGAGACACGGCACAGACUCCUACGGGAGUCAGCAGUAGGGCAUCUUCCACAAUAGACGAAAGUCUGAUGGAGCAACGCCGCGUGAGCGAUGAAGGCCUUCGGGUCGUAAAGCUCUGUUGUUAGGGAAGAACAAGUACCGGAGUAACUGCCGGUACCUUGACGGUACCUAACCAGAAAGCCACGGCUAACUACGUGCCAGCAGCCGCAGUAACAC